UACAGAGGGUGCAAGCGUUAAUCGGAGUUACUGGGCGUAAAGGGCGCGUAGGUGGUUUUGAAAGUAAGAUGUGAAAUCCCUGGGCUUAACCUAGGAACAGCAUUUUAAACUGCAGGACUUGAGUACAGUAGAGGGUGGCGGAAUUUCCGGUGUAGCGGUGAAAUGCGUAGAGAUCGGAAGGAACAUCAGUGGCGAAGGCGGCCACCUGGACUGUGUCUGACACUGAGGCGCGAGAGCGUGGGGAGCAAACAGG
rnacentral:rRNA from 1 species